GCUCUGGUAGUCUAGCGGUUAGGAUGGGACCCUGUCGCGGUCCCGACCCGGGUUCGAAUCCCGGCCAGGGCG
rnacentral:tRNA from 1 species